rnacentral:tRNA from 1 species
GUCGUUGUAGUAUAGUGGUGAGUAUCCCGCCUGUCACGCGGGAGACCCGGGUUCGAUCCCCAACGGCG